GAAUGGAACUAUAAAAAAGGUUGAAGGGAGCUGGCUUGCCCCUUGCACCACAAGAGGACACAUAGAAGGUGCUGUCUUAUGAGGCAGAGAGCAUGCCCUCCCCAGACAGAGAACCUGUUGGCACCUUGAUCUUGGACUUCCCAGCCUCUAGAACCACAGGUUGUUAAACUGAACCAUCUUGACUGGCCCCAGCCAAGUUUCUUACAGUGGAAAUGGCACAUUAACUAUGCAGCUGUCAUGAGAGAAGUCAGUACUCUUAGAUUCUAACCCAAAAGAAUUCAAAUAUAUUGGAUUUCCUCUCCUGUUCAAUUGGAAUUCAAGGACUUAAUCCACUUUUAAUUACACUGUUCCUGUUGUUGCAUCAAAAGGGGAUGAGGGCCAAAGAAAGGAGGAGAAGAGCUCUCAGAAUUUCCAAUUAGCACAUUUAAGCAGUGAAAAUGUAUCAGACCUGACCAGAAUACAAUACAUUGUAUGAUUAGGACCACAAUUCCAAUUAGUGGCAGAUACAAAAGCUCAGCUCUCAAUGUGAAAACCAACCAGAAAGGGUGGGCUCAAGAGGAUAAUUUUCUUGGUUGAAGAAGAGACUCAGGCUACGUUUCAUCACAUAUUUGAGUGCGCAAACUUGAAAUCUCUGUUACAAAUGUUUUAAACAGUGACUG
ensembl:lncRNA PDE7B-AS1 PDE7B antisense RNA 1